rnacentral:rRNA from 1 species
UAUCUCGGCUCUUGCAUCGAUGAAGAACGUAGCGAAAUGCGAUACUUGGUGUGAAUUGCAGAAUCCCGUGAACCAUCGAGUCUUUGAACGCAAGUUGCGCCUGAAGCCAUUAGGUUGAAGGCACGUCUGCCUGGGCGUCACGCAUUCCGUCACCCACUCAUCCGUGCCUAAGCGGGCAUG